rnacentral:rRNA from 1 species
CCUACGGGGGGCAGCAGUGGGGAAUAUUGGACAAUGGGCGAAAGCCUGAUCCAGCCAUGCCGCGUGUGUGAAGAAGGCCUUCGGGUUGUAAAGCACUUUCAGUGGGGAAGAAAGCCUUGGGGCUAAUACCCUCGAGGAAGGACAUCACCCACAGAAGAAGCACCGGCUAACUCCGUGCCAGCAGCCGCGGUAAUACGGAGGGUGCGAGCGUUAAUCGGAAUUACUGGGCGUAAAGCGCGCGUAGGCGGUCUGAUAAGCCGGUUGUGAAAGCCCCGGGCUCAACCUGGGAACGGCAUCCGGAACUGGCAGGCUAGAGUGCAGUAGAGGAAGGUAGAAUUCCCGGUGUAGCGGUGAAAUGCGUAGAGAUCGGGAGGAAUACCAGUGGCGAAGGCGGCCUUCUGGACUGACACUGACGCUGAGGUGCGAAAGCGUGGGUAGCAAACAGGAUUAGAUACCCGAGUAGUC